rnacentral:rRNA from 1 species
UACGUAGGUGGCGAGCGUUAUCCGGAAUUACUGGGUGUAAAGGGUGUGUAGGCGGGAAGACAAGUCAGGCGUGAAAUGGAAAGGCUCAACCUUUCAGCUGCGCUUGAAACUGUUUUUCUUGAGAGUGGGAGAGGUAAACGGAAUUCCUGGUGUAGUAGUGAAAUGCGUAGAUAUCAGGAGGAACACCGGUGGCGAAGGCGGUUUACUGGACCACAACUGACGCUGAGACACGAAAGCGUGGGGAG